UUCUACGGGAGGCAGCAGUAAGGAAUAUUGGACAAUGGGCGCAAGCCUGAUCCAGCCAUGCCGCGUGAAGGAUUAAGGUCCUCUGGAUUGUAAACUUCUUUUAUAAGGGACGAAAAAAGGGAAUUCUUUCUCACUUGACGGUACCUUAUGAAUAAGCACCGGCUAACUCCGUGCCAGCAGCCGCGGUAAUACGGAGGGUGCAAGCGUUAUCCGGAUUCACUGGGUUUAAAGGGUGCGUAGGCGGGUAUUUAAGUCAGUGGUGAAAUCCUAGAGCUUAACUCUAGAACUGCCAUUGAUACUAUUUAUCUUGAAUAUUGUGGAGGUAAGCGGAAUAUGUCAUGUAGCGGUGAAAUGCUUAGAUAUGACAUAGAACACCUAUUGCGAAGGCAGCUUACUACGCAUAUAUUGACGCUGAGGCACGAAAGCGUGGGGAUCAAACAGGAUUAGAUACCCUGGUAGUCC
rnacentral:rRNA from 1 species